UACAGAGGUCUCAAGCGUUGUUCGGAUUCAUUGGGCGUAAAGGGUGUGUAGGUGGCGCGCUAAGUCGGGUGUGAAAUUUCGGAGCUUAACUCCGAAACUGCAUUCGAUACUGGCGUGCUUGAGGACUGGAGAGGAGACUGGAAUUCAUGGUGUAGCAGUGAAAUGCGUAGAGAUCAAUGAGGAAGACCAGUGGCGAAGGCGGGUCUCUGGACAGUUCCUGACACUGAGACACGAAGGCCAGGGAGCAAACGGG
rnacentral:rRNA from 1 species